rnacentral:rRNA from 1 species
UACGCUUGAACUUAAGCAUAUCAAUAAGCGGAGGAAAAGAAACUAACAAGGAUUCCCCUAGUAACUGCGAGUGAAGCGGGAAAAGCUCAAAUUUAAAAUCUGGCGGUCUCCGGCCGUCCGAGUUGUAGUCUGGAGAAGCGUUUUCCGCGUUGGACCGUGUACAAGUUUCCUGGAACGGAGCGUCAUAGAGGGUGAGAAUCCCGUCUUUGACACGGACCCCAAUGCUUUGUGAUGCGCUCUCAAAGAGUCGAGUUGUUUGGGAAUGCAGCUCAAAAUGGGUGGUGAAUUCCAUCUAAAGCUAAAUAUUGGCGAGAGACCGAUAGCGAACAAGUACCGUGAGGGAAAGAUGAAAAGCACUUUGGAAAGAGAGUUAAACAGUACGUGAAAUUGUUGAAAGGGAAACGCUUGAAGUCAGUCGCGUCUGCCGGGACUCAGCCUUGCUUCCGCUAGGUGUACUUUCCGGUAGACGGGCCAGCAUCAGUUUUGGCCGCGAGAAAAAGGCGGAGGGAAUGUGGCUCUUUCGGGAGUGUUAUAGCCCUCUGUCACAUGUCGCGGCUGGGACUGAGGACCGCAGCACGCCUUUAUGGCCGGGGUUCGCCCACGUACGUGCUUAGGAUGCUGGCGUAAUGGCUUUAAACGACCCGUCUUGAAACACGGACCAAGGAGUCUAACAUGCCUGCGAGUGUUCGGGUGGAAAACCCGUGCGCGUAAUGAAAGUGAAAGUUGGGAUCCCUGUCGUGGGGUGCACCGACGCCCGGACCAGACCUUUUGUGACGGAUCUGCGGUAGAGCAUGUAUGUUGGGACCCGAAAGAUGGUGAACUAUGCCUGAAUAGGGUGAAGCCAGAGGAAACUCUGGUGGAGGCUCGUAGCGAUUCUGACGUGCAAAUCGAUCGUCAAAUUUGGGUAUAGGGGCGAAAGACUAAUCGAACCAU